rnacentral:tRNA from 1 species
GUAGAUACAGCUCAUUGGUAGAGCACAUGCUUACAUGCAUGAGGUCCUGGGUUCAACUCCCAGUUCCUCCA